AGGCAAGGGAACUGAAAAGUGUGCUGAGGAUAAAUGAUCAAUUAGGCAGAUGUAAAUGAACAACAGCUACAGGCUGGAGGCUCUGACAUCACACCUGAUGGAGAACCUGGAGAGCUGGUCCUUGCUGAUCUUCGGCCCCAGGGCAUUUCAGUCAGUGAAGACAUCUUCACCACCUGCUCUUCCAGACGACGGACUCGUGCCUGAACACCUGCAGGUUAACCAACCAACCACUGAUCAGUAAAGCAAAAAAAGGAAACAAUGAGGAUCAUGUUUGCUGGUUUGCUGCUUGUGCUGCUCUUUGUCACUGGACUCUCAAAACUAGCCAAUCUUCAACCCCAACAGCAGCAGAAUGAAACCCCUUAUGAAAAGUUCAGACGGCAACAUGUAGAUGCUAAGAUGAGUGUGGAAAAAUGUGAUACAGAAAUAAAAAACAGGCAGAUCUAUGAUGUUAACAGCCGUUGUAAGUUUACUAACACAUUCAUCCUUAGUGAUGAUAAACAGGUCAAAGCCAUUUGUAAUGGUCAAGGAAGAUAUGAUCGUAAGAGUCGCAUGACAAAGAGUGUAUCUAAGUUUAGUAUUGUUAUAUGUAAACUAAAGAAGAAAAGAACCGGGGAACCCAAAUGUCAGUAUGAAGGCAAACGUCUCACUAACAGGAUUAUUCUAGUCAAAUGUAAAGGAAAGUUACCCGUGCACUAGGGUCGUGACAUAAUGACCUUUGCAUCCAAUAACACAACUAUAGGAAAAAUCCCCAUGCGCUCUAAUUCUGUACCCACAAAUAUGCAUUUCUGAGAUAACAAAAGAGCAACAUUUAUCAUCAGCUCUGACAAAAGGUCACUGGAAACAUCUUGUUUGUUAUAAGUUUUUAUUUGUGCCUGUCUUAUAAGCGCAUACAUGUUUUGCAUGUGAUCAAAUUCAAUUUCUAAACAUAUUGUAUAAAAAACAAUUAACCCCAUUUUCACUAGGGAUGACAAAAAGCAUGUAGAAAAAAUCCUGUAUUAAAUGUUACUGAUAAAAAAUAAAACAAAAACACGAACGAGUAAAAAAAACAGCUUAAUUUUGUUAUUUGUUUAUCUCAUGACUGCUGAUAUAUUAAUAGCAGUGAUUGUAGGAUACAGAUGUAUGUACUACAGUUAUGUGUUAAAGUAAUUUGAAAGGUGAUUUUUGGUAACUCUGGGAUCCAGCUUGCUUCUAAUAAACGAUUUAUUGUCUGAUCACAGACUAAGUGUGUAAAAAAUGUUCUUUGAACACUUCAAGCAUCAGCACUCACAAGCUGACAUGUCUUUGCUCAGUGCCCUGCAUUUUAUUUAUAUUUUAUAUGAUUUUUAUGUUGUAUUUACCAAUUGCAGUUUCAAUGGCACUACAAACA